rnacentral:rRNA from 1 species
GACGAACGCUGGCGGCGUGCUUAACACAUGCGAGUCGAACGGUAAGGCGCCUUUUUCUUUGUGGGUUGUGGAUGAUUGACUAACGGGUGGGUAACACAUGAGUAACUUACCCCCUUCUUCUUGAGAACUACAUGAAGGAGUCUCGAAUACGUUAUAGUCUGGGUCGGUCGCAGGAUGGUUCGGGGGAAGACGUUGUUUCGGUGGGUGGUGGGCUCGCGGCCUCUUAGCUUGUUGGUGGUGGGGUGAUGUACCAAGGCGGUGACGGGUGGUCGGCGUGCGAGGGUGGACGGUCACACUGGGACUGAGACACGGCGCAGACGACUACGGGAGGCAGCAGCGGGGAAUAUUGCACAAUGGGGGCAAGCCUGAUGCAGCGACGCCGCGUGAGGGAUGGAGGCCUUCGGGUUGUGAAACUCUUUCGCCAGUGAAGCAGGCCUGCCUCGUUUGUGGGUGGGUUGACGGUAGUUGGAUAAGAAGCGCCGGCUAACUACGUG